UCCCUGGUGGCUCAGUGGCAAAGAAUCUGCCUGCAAUGCAGGAGAUGCAGGUUCGAUCCCUGAGUUGGGAA
rnacentral:tRNA from 1 species